rfam:Bombyx mori DNA, contig: Bm_scaf7_contig6058, strain: p50T/Dazao, build 2, whole genome shotgun sequence.
CUGUGCUAUCUUGUCUGUGGUUCGAGGGUGAGAUUGUCACAGCACUAUAGGUGGUACAUUCGAGAACCGUAAGACAAUUAAUAUAAA